UCCUGGUAACUACCUCAUCCGUGAGCAUCCCUGAUCUCCAGAGUAGGACCAACCUUGGAUAUAACGCAGGCGUCUUGAACCUAAUUUGUUCAAAAGUUAACCUGGGAUGCUCCCUCCGCUGUCCUGUGUUCCCACCUUAGUAAACAAACUUUCCUUUAGUUCACACAGUUUCUCUGCCAGUAUCCUAGCCAAUUAUGUCUAUUCUCAUAAGUCUCACAACCCACCAGGAAAUCCAGCCUGUUCACUAAAUUACUACCUCUUGCCAAAUUUACUGUCAUUGUCUAGGUACAAGUCACCCACACCUUUCUCUUCAGUGACCUAUAGCCGUGCCCUCCUGGCUGGUCAUUUCCCAGUCUCCUGUUCUAAACAGGGUUGUAUUCAAGCUUCGGGAAGGAAUGAUUACCAGAAAAUGAAAAUAUGAUCAUGCCCUUCCUUGGUCCAAUUCUUCUCAUUGUUUCCCGUAUAUUUACAAGAAAGUUCAAUGCUUUUCUGAUCAUCUGGAGAGUUCUAACUCGUUAAGGUUCUUGGUUAUGCCUUCUGCUUCAUCUCCUAGACUUUUUGGAAAUAGUGAAAAGAAAGGAAAGCAGAAAUCUUAAGCCUAGGUGAACUGUAGUCACCUUUUAACAGCAGGAAACUUAUACUGACCGAUCAUUGUUCAAAGGGAGCUAUGCAGUGAGGGUCAUCAAGCCAGAAGCAAUAGCUGCACGCAAUAUGGUUUCCUGGCUAACAAGGAUCAGUUCUGUAUUCUUGGCAGAAAGCCUUGGCCUCAUCCAGAUGUACACGGAGUGAUCAAGGAGAAGCAGAUAAACAUCUACCACCGCUGACUGAGGAAGAGAAUUGGUCUACCGCAUCUUGGCUUCGUUGCCUUCGUCUCUAGUAACGCAAACACUAGUGAGACUUUUCUUUCCCAUGAAGUAACUAAUUACUAGGCUUCAGUCACCUGAGUAUUUCCAAACAUUGCUGAAAAAGGAGAAGGAAUCUUCCAUAUUUAAAUCUACUUUGCUGCCUUGGGACAUGAAAUGCCUCUUCAUUUUCUCAGACUCUCCAGCUUCUAAUUCCCUUGCAAUAACCAACAAACUAAGGUAGCUGCAGUGUAUCAGACCCCAAGACACGCCGUGAACUGCAAACCCCAGAGGAAAGAUGCUGCGUGCUAAUGCGGACGUCUGCUGCGAGAUGGAGUCCAGAGAGAAUGGAUCCCAGCUGCUUGCGUUGGGUGCGUUCCCAUCUGCAUCCUCCGGAGAACGAAGGGGUGUAGCUUGUGCAAAGACGAGAUUCCAGAGGCGGUGCUCCUGUGCUUCUCCAGCGCUUGCCCUCCUCAUGUUGGCUCCUUCGCCAUAUACCAUAUAUAAAUAUGCUCAAUGAUUAUUCUUGAAUGCCGUUUGCUAUGUGCCACACUUCACACGAACGAUGUCAUUAACUUCUAGCCACAGUUCCUUGAGUGGCAUUACUAAAGUCAUUGUGCAGUGGUAGAAAUGGCUGGAGGCAUUAAAGAAACGCUUGCAAAGUUCUCCAGUCCUAGAGAUAGUUACGGAAUGGACAUUCAGCAAUCUGCAUCUAGGACGGACUGAUUCUUUGAGCAUUCUGAAAUGUCUCAUGUGCUUCGGUAAUCCUACAAUUGUUCAAACUGACCUCUUCCUUUGCCAGGACCCA